UUAUAACAAACUGAGACAAAGAAGGGGAGGAUUUGCAUCCCCAGUACAUGCCCUGAUCGGGGGCAUUGACCCAACUUUUGGUUUUGGUCCCUGUCCCCUUCGCACCACUUACAAAAUGAGGAGGUCGUACCCCUUGGGGGUAACACACGUACGGGUUAGCACCCGGUUACUCCUAACAGCCGAUCCUGAAAGGGUGCUUAAGGGGAUCAGAAGACCACCACCACCGCCGGCCACCUCCAGGUCCGUGCCGGCGACAUCCUUCGUGUCUGCUACAUCGCCUGCUGAUGCCCUUCCUCCCGACGAUCUUCUCACUGCUGGAGAUGCUAAGGUGGAGCCAGGGGCUAUCCUGUUAAUGGAUCAAGAUAAUCACGCAAUGAACAUUAAAAAUGAUGCCAUUUUGUUUGACAUAGACGAACCUUAUGCAAAGAACUUUCCCACAUGGAGAGUGGAGAUCAUUGUCUCAUGUAAGGAAUCUCCCAAUGUUUUUCUGCCACUAAGGUUGAAGGAUGUUAAUCAUGAUGAUAAGGCAGACAUUGGGAGAGAUCUCAAGACGCAUGUGCCAUCAUGCACAUUACUAAUGCAAAGGAGACUAAAGUCAAAACUAUUGGAUUUAUUCCACUAGCUUUUGGAGAUGACUUAAUUUUUCCAUCUUAUUGAUGAUAUUUUGUUCAUGCUCCUAGUUAUUGGAGAACCUUAACUCUCAAACAGAUGAGGUGAUUUUGUAUGUUAUUAGGUUAACUCCAAUUAUGUAAUGUUAGUCCCACCUUGGUGAGAUGAGUUAUGUUUUCACUAAAUAAAUCUUUUGUAAAGAUUAUAUGCUAUGUUACAAUUGAA